rnacentral:rRNA from 1 species
GACAGAGGGGGCAAACGUUGCUCGGAAUCAUUGGGCGUAAAGCGCGCGGUAGGCGGUUACUUAUGUCGGAUGUGAAGCCCUCGGCUUAACUGAGGAAGUGCAUUCGAAACUGGGUAGCUAGAGUACUAAAGAGGGUCGCGGAAUUCCCGGUGUAGAGGUGAAAUUCGUAGAUAUCGGGAGGAACACCGGGUGGCGAAGGCGGUUCUCUGGGCCUUACCUGACGCUGAGGAGCGAAAGCGUGGGGAGCGAACAGGG